UCCUAAGGCCCUCUGCUUAGGACUGACGGGGCUGGCAGCAGAGCUGGCCCGCCACUCGGAUCUCGAGUUUUCCCACUGACCACUGUGAUGCCUCCUUGCAGAUGAGCCAAGUGCCCAGGUUUCACGCAGCGUCUCAAGGCCUGGCUGGCCUCUGGACCACCGUUCUACUCUCUGUCUCUGUGAAUUUGGCUACACCAGGUCCCUCAAAUAAGCGGAAUCAUGCUGAAUAAUACUCCACUGUAUGGAUAUACCACCUGUCAUGUAUCCUUUCACCCACCCGUGGACACUUGGGUUUUUUCACCCUUUGGCUGCUGUGAAUAACGCUGCUGUGAACAUAAGGCACAAACGAGGAAGCUUUUUUGAUGGUACCCCACAUCGGAGCAAACGAGUGCACCACACGCCCAGCACGAAGACCUGGAGCCGCCGAAGCUAGACGGGUGAUAUAACCACAAACUCUGGAGGCUGACGGUGGAGACGGUGUGCUAUGGGGUGGAAGUCAGCCCCCGCUGCGGGUACGGCUUGGGUUUGAGAAAGUGUGAGCUGGUUAAGCGGAGGCGAGCCUGGGCCUCUCUUCCUGCCUCUCCCUCUCCCAUGCCCUCAGCCUCUGGCCCUGCUUGCUCUCCUCUCUCUCCUCACCUUAACCCCGACUUAGUGCACCCGGAUGCCACCCAAGGCCCCACAUGUCCCUCUCCGACCGUUUUGGUGCCAGAUCCCAGGGAGGCAUCUGAUUGGCUCUGCUCUCACCAGGCUACCCCUGAUAGGUCACUGGCCAGCCUAUGGAUGGGCUCUCCUUGGUCAAGUGUCCAUUCCUGGUCCAAUCACCCGGGGAGAGCAGUCUCACAUGUGUGGGGGGUGGGCUGCAGUUCUCCCAGUGGUCCGCUCUCAGAUUCCCCGCUGCUGUGGCUGGCAUAGGGGGUGGCGUGGGCAGGGCACGUUCAGGUUUAACAGCGCCCUUGGUAGUCUGAGGGGGGCUGCAAGGAGCGGAUGUGGAGGACCCUAGGCAGGCCAGAGGGUCUGAGCUGACUGCCCUGUGAACCCCAAGCCUGACAAUAACCAAGGGAGGGGGCGGAGCGGGGGAGCAGUCCUGCCCCUGGGCCGAGACUCGCCUGCGCCCCUUCUCUUAAGGAGGCACCUGGGUCUUGGUGUUUGGAGAGUUGGUUGGUGCAGGGUGUGUGUGUGGCGGGGGGAGCCAGUGCCCCUUUCUCACUCAGGGAGCCCCACAGUGCGGGCUUCAGCUCCUGAGCUUUUCCUGACCUUGUCUUAAGCCCCAGGGUGUCCUGUCUGGAGUCUGGGACCCUCUGCGCCGGUUCUUCAGCGAGUCUCUGAGCACGGGGGUCUGCAGGUACCUUUUGGGUUCAGGCUCAAGUCAGUGCAACCCUGUCCCCACAGGACGCGGGGGACAGGGGUUGGCGUGUGUGUGCUGCUCUCCCCGCCAGGCACACACUCGAUCUACUUCUCCCAAGGGAUCUUCCCUCCCAGAAACGUCUGCCAGGGGGCCAGGCCCCCCACCCCAACACAGCAGCGUCCCUAAUUGCCCCGUAUUAAUUGCCCGCUUCACCCGUGCAGCUGGGCGGGGCCUCCCCUGGGCUCGGAGCGCGUUAUUGGAAGGAAACUGAUUUCCCCAGUUUGGGAGAAUUCAGACUUGGGGGUUAACUUCUUGUGGUUUUCGAGCAUUUAUCAUUCAAAACAGGUUUCAUUCCCUCCCGGAGGGUUUUCUGUAAACAACUCAGAAGUCACCCCACAGCACCCGGGCUCCUGCCCAGCUGGGGUUCCUGACCUAGGGGACACCGCAGCACUACACAGGCCCCAAGGGUUCGGGGCCUGAAACCUGGAGGGCUCAGGCUGCCCCGCGCCGCGGCUCUCGCGGAGCGCAGCCCGUCCGAAGGCCUCGCCCUCGCUACUUUCCUUUUGUUUUUGAGUUUUAUUGAUGCAUAAUUUAUAUGCCGUAAAAUUCCCC